AACGAGGUACAGUUCUGUUUAUGUAUGGCAUCUUCAGUAAAGAAGUUCCGAGUAAAGACGUUGACGUUGAAUACCGCUUCCUUGCCGAGCCUUAAUUAAUGCCUCAUGCAGUAAUGUCUCUGGUUUUUCUGAAUAUUAAGCCCACGGGCGAAUAAACUCUCUAAGGAAUUUGCAAAAUGGCAAAGAUUAAAGGUCAGGUUAAGUGGUUCAACGAGUCUAAAGGUUUUGGUUUCAUCACUCCUGCUGACGGCAGCAAAGACGUGUUCGUACACUUCUCUGCAAUCCAGGGUAAUGGCUUCAAAACUCUGGCUGAAGGCCAGAACGUUGAGUUCGAAAUUCAGGACGGCCAGAAAGGUCCAGCGGCUGUGAACGUCACCGCUAUCUGAUUUCGAUCUGAGCUUGAUAUUACCGCGUUGCGUGUAAUCCAGGCCACUAUCUGAAUAUUUAAGCCCUGUCAGAAAUGACGGGGCUUUUUU
rnacentral:sRNA from 1 species